rnacentral:siRNA from 1 species
CCAAAAAGCUGAAGAGGUGUCC